rnacentral:rRNA from 1 species
AUUAGAUACCCUGGUAGUCCGCACGGUAAACGAUGGAUGCCCGCCGUUGGGUAUUUUUAUUCAGUGGCCAAGCGAAAGCGUUAAGCAUCCCACCUGGGGAGUACGCCGGCAACGGUGAAACUCAAAGGAAUUGACGGGGGCCCGCACAAGCGGAGGAACAUGUGGUUUAAUUCGAUGAUACGCGAGGAACCUUACCCGGGCUUGAAUUGCAGAUGACGGAUCCAGAGAUGGUGACUUCCUUCGGGACAUCUGUGAAGGUGCUGCAUGGUUGUCGUCAGCUCGUGCCGUGAGGUGUCGGCUUAAGUGCCAUAACGAGCGCAACCCCUUUCGUCAGUUGCCAUCGGGUAAUGCCGGGCACUCUGGCGACACUGCCGCCGCAAGGUGUGAGGAAGGUGGGGAUGACGUCAAAUCAGCACGGCCCUUACGUCCGGGGCUACACACGUGUUACAAUGGGGCAUACAGAGAGUUGGUCAUGCGCAAGCAUGAUCGGAUCAUGAAAGUGUCCCUCAGUUCGGACUGGGGUCUGCAACCCGACCCCACGAAGCUGGAUUCGCUAGUAAUCGCGCAUCAGCCAUGGCGCGGUGAAUACGUUCCCGGGCCUUGUACACACCGCCCGUCAAGCCAUGAAAGCCGGGGGCGCCUGAAGUCCGUGACCGCGAGAGUCGGCCUAGGGUGAAACCGGUGAUUGGGGCUAAGUCGUAACAAGGUAGC